rnacentral:ncRNA from 1 species
GAAAGCCGUGUGAGGCGAAAGUCUCACGUACGGUUUAGAAUAGGGGAAAAGGUUGAGACGACACAAAGCCUGAACUAUCAC